rnacentral:rRNA from 1 species
CCGGCUCGCCGAAAGUCCAAGGGUUCCUGCGUAAAGCUAAUCUGCGCAGGGUUAGCCGGCCCCUAAGACGAGGCAGAAAUGCGUAGUCGAUGUGAAACAGGUUAAUAUUCCUGUACCGAUACUUACUGCGAUGGGAUGACGGAGAAGGCUAGUCUAGAACGGUGUUGGUUAUCCGUAUCUAAGCACGUAGGCUGUAAUCUUAGGCAAAUCCGGGAUUACCUCUUUAUUGAGAAGGCUGAGAUGUUAUGGCGAGGUCCAUUUAUGGACCGAGUAGACGAUGCCCUGCUUCCAAGAAAAGUCUCUAAGCUUCAGGUAAGUAUUGACCGUACUCUAAACGGACACACGUGGGUGAGGCGAGAAGCCUAAGGUGCUUGAGAGAACCCAGGUGAAGGAACUCGGCAAAAUGAUACCGUAACUUCGGGAGAAGGUAUGCCUACC